CGGGCUGCUUGAUCGUAUACAUCAGCGAUGAUGAUCUUUGCCUUCUUCUGUUUGAAAUCUUGCAAAAAAAAAAAAAAAUAUUCUCGAAAAUUAUUUUACGUCAUUGCGUUGAGAAUAACUGGUCAAUUUGAAGUCUGUUCAACGAUCUCUUGGACUCUUCUCUUGGACUAUUUA